GACUCCGGUUGAUCCUGCCGGACCCGACUGCUAUCAGGGUGAGACUAAGCCAUGCGAGUCUACACCCUGGGCUACGACAGGGUGUGGCGUACGGCUCAGUAAUACACGACCAACCUACCCUUAGGACGCGGAUAACCGCGGGAAAGGUGAGCCGCAACCACUAAAAAACCACUAUUAAGAACACCACGGUGAGUUGGAAUGAUAAACUUAUUUAGGAAUCCACUUGAAAAAUCCCCAUACAAUUCCUCCUAAUAACCCCCUUUACUACGACUCACCCCCGAAACUGCGGAUAAUCCGCGAUAGGAGAGGAGGCCUGGAAUGGUUCCUCUCCGAAAUGGCUUCAGAGUCAUGCCCUCUGAAGCCGCCUAAGGAUGGGGUCGUGUCUGAUCAGGUAGUUGGUGGGGUAACGGCCCACCAAGCCUAAGACCAGUACGGGCCGUGAGAGCGGGAGCCCGGAGAUGGACCCUGAGACAAGGGUCCAGGCCCUACGGGGCGCAGCAGGCGCGAAAACUCCGCUAUGCGCGAAAGCGUGACGGGGUCACCCUGAGUGCCGCUCGCUGAGAGCGGCUUUUCCCCAGUCUAAACAGCUGGGGGAAUAAGGGGAGGGCAAGUCUGGUGUCAGCCGCCGCGGUAAUACCAGCUCCCCGAGUGGUCGGGACGAUUAUUGGGCCUAAAGCGUCCGUAGCCGGUCCAGUAAGUCCUCUGUUAAAUCCAGCGAUCCAAUCGCUGGACCGCAGAGGAUACUGCUGGACUAGGGGGCGGGAGAGGCUGGCGGUAUUCCCGAGGGAGGGGCGAAAUCCCGAGAGCUCGGGAGGACCACCAGUGGCGAAGGCGGCCAGCUGGAACGCGCCCGACGGUGAGGGACGAAAGCCGGGGGAGCGAACCGGAUUAGAUACCCGGGUAGUCCCGGCUGUAAACGAUGCGGGCUAGGUGUCAGGUCAACUACGAGUUGACCUGGUGCCGAAUGGAAGCAAAUAAGCCCGCCGCCUGGGGAGUACGGCCGCAAGGCUGAAACUUAAAGGAAUUGGCGGGGGAGCACACAAGGGGUGGAUGCUGCGGUUUAAUUGGAGUCAACCCCGGGAACCUUACCAGGGGAGACAGCAGGAUGAAGGCCAGAUUGAAGGUCUUGCCGGACGAGCUGAGAGGAGGUGCAUGGCCGUCGCCAGCUCGUGCCGUGAGGUGUCCUGUUAAGUCAGGCAACGAGCGAGACCCCCGUCCCUAGUUGCUAUCAGAACUCGGAAGAGUUCUGAGCACUCUAGGGAGACUGCCGCCGAUAAGGCGGAGGAAGGAGGGGGCUACGGCAGGUCAGUAUGCCCCGAAUCCCCUGGGCCACACGCGGCAUACAAUGGCAGGGACAAUGGGUUGCCACCCCGAAAGGGGGAGCCAAUCCCCAAACCCUGCCUCAGUUGGGAUCGAGGGUUGCAACCCACCCUCGUGAACCCGGAAUCCCUAGUAAUCGCGCGUUACAAACGCGCGGUGAAUACGUCCCUGCUCCUUGCACACACCGCCCGUCGCUCCCCCCAAGUUGGGCCUAGAUGAGGCAUAGUCUCUCAUGGCUAUGUCGAAUCUAGGUUCGACGAGGGAGGAGAAGGCGUAACAAGGUGGCCGUACGGGAACGUGCGGCCGGAUCACCUCCUAUC
rnacentral:rRNA from 1 species